CCGUGCUAGCUGGGGAGUUAGCGGUGCCCUGUAUCUGCAAUCCGCUAUAGCAGAGGUGAUGUCCUGUUUCGGAUAUUCCAGCUGCGGAGCUGCCCGGUAUAAGUGGCGUUGACGUUUUGGUCUUGCGCAAUGAGAACUCAUGAACCGUGUCAGGAGGGGAACCUAGCAGCACUAAGUGAGAACUCUCGUGUGCCGCGAGGUUGCCGGAACUGAGCAAACUGUAUCGGUAACGUCUGCAAUGGUUUAUACAACGCAGGAUGCACGG
rnacentral:SRP_RNA from 1 species